CCGCGCACGGGAGCUGUCAGUGGAUCUCGAAAUAACAAGCUGGCGGACAAAGUAAGCGGACUCCCCGCGGAAAUAAAUCUGAAGUGUAAAACAAAAAAUAUGCACAUACAGUUGUAUGUGGUAGGUGUGUAACGGAAAUAAUCGAAUGUGCAAAAGGUAAAACGUUUGAAAGCGGAAUAAAAUAAUUUUAAAAAAUUUUCCAAAAAAAGGAAAAAAAAAUAAUCCAGCUGCUCUUGGAAGAUAAUUUCAAUGAAGUAAAAAUUGUAAGUGUGUUGGUGUGUCAUGCAUUCAGAGCUUUAAUUAACGUUAAAGUUGAGAACGGAAACUAGGUGCGACAGUUAAAAUUUGAAAAUUUGAUAUUGGCCUAGUCUUUAAAAUACAUUUGUAAAACAGCAGCGAAAAAGUUUGAAAAACUAGAAGUACGUAAUUUUAUGGAUAAAUUCAAAUUUAAGUUUGAUGGCUUUAAAGUUGUAUGUAGCAUGCGGCUAAAAUCUAAAACAUAAAUAAAGUGUCAUAUAUUAAAAGUACCAGCUUAAAUAAAUUACAUAAAAAAGUAAACCGAUCCUUCGUGUUAAUAGUGAAAUGUGAAGGGCGUGGCUGCUUUAUGCUAUUUGUGCGCACGCAUGUGUUUUGAAAAAAAAAAUUCUUUUUUUAUUAUGCAGUAACGCUCAAGGUCACUGCAGUUAAGUAGGCUGGAACAAAUUGAUUAUUUGUUGUUGCUAAAUCAAUGUGUGACUAAAAAAUAAAAAUAACGCAGAUCCACAACGGCGCAUUGUUUCGCAAAAUUGCAGUAAAAACGAAAAUAACCAAAAACCUUGGCAAGCUACGGAUUUCUUUUUAAAUAAAUAUAUAUUUGGCGACUAUUUAUGAAAGUGCAAUACAAUAAAAACGAUGAAAGAAAAAUAAUUAAAAUUAAUAAAAUCAAUUCCAAAAUAAUAAAGCAAAGAAAAGUGAAAUUGUUUAACUCUAGAGUUGUGCGAAAAACAUAGUUAUUAAACCCAUAAAAAUGCAAGUAAUUAGUAUGAAGGUUAAAAUUAAAUAAUUUUUCAAAAAAGUGUAAAGACUUCAUAACAAAACUGCCAAAAAGUUGCUUCGAAAUAUACAUGUCGUAUACGUAACAUAAUUGGGAUGAUAUGUAGAGCAGUGCAUACAUAUGUACAUAUUUGUAUGUAAUAAAUAAAAAUAUUCAACGAAAGCCAAUGCGAAAUUUUGCCAAUUGAAAGAUUGGUGAUGAAAAUGUUGCAUUACGUACAGGAAAUGAUUGCAAAAUAUUGAUAUUCCCAGAAGCAAUAUAAAGCUAAAAAAAUUCAAGAAAAAAGUUUUUAAAGUAUUCACAUACCAACGCUUUGUGAUUGUUAAAAUAAAAUAACUUAAACUGUCCAAUAACACAGAGUAAGCCCGAUAGAACGCAGCCACUCUCAUAAAAAAAGUUGUUGUGCGAAAAUAUAUUCAUAGCCUAUAAAUAAGCUUACAAAAAUAUUUGCUUCCCUUUUCAGCUGAGAGAAGUGAUGAGAAAUAAUAAUAAAAAAUAUGCAAAUUACACAAAAUAUACAGAAAGUAAUAAUUCCUAAGGCAAAGGGAUGCAAACAAGGUCAAUAAAAAAGAAUUUUUAUUGCGAAAUUUUUUCAGUGCGUGCGUGAAUAAAUAAGUGAAGAAUUAUAAAUGAUUGAGAAACGUUAAUAUUGUCCGAAACUUAGGGACUUAAAUAAUCACAAAUUCCAAGAAUUAGCUACAACUUAUAGAUUGCAAUCACCAGCUAAGCGCAACUGUUUGUUUAAC